rnacentral:rRNA from 1 species
CCGGCACGGGUGAGUAACACUAUCCAACCUGCCGUCUACUCUUGGCCAGCCUUCUGAAGGAAGAUUAAUCCAGGAUGGCAUCAUGAGUUCACAUGUCCGCAUGAUUAAAGGUAUUUUCCGGUAGACGAUGGGGAUGCGUUCCAUUAGAUAGUAGGCGGGGUAACGGCCCGCCUAGUCAACGAUGGAUAGGGGUUCUGAGAGGAAGGUCCCCCACAUUGGAACUGAGACACGGUCCAA